rnacentral:rRNA from 1 species
CUUCCGUAGGGGAACCUGCGGAAGGAUCAUUACCGAGUGUAGGGUUCCUAGCGAGCCCAACCUCCCACCCGUGUUUACUGUACCUUAGUUGCUUCGGCGGGCCCGCCAUUCAUGGCCGCCGGGGGCUCUCAGCCCCGGGCCCGCGCCCGCCGGAGACACCACGAACUCUGUCUGAUCUAGUGAAGUCUGAGUUGAUUGUAUCGCAAUCAGUUAAAACUUUCAACAAUGGAUCUCUUGGUUCCGGCAUCGAUGAAGAACGCAGCGAAAUGCGAUAACUAGUGUGAAUUGCAGAAUUCCGUGAAUCAUCGAGUCUUUGAACGCACAUUGCGCCCCCUGGUAUUCCGGGGGGCAUGCCUGUCCGAGCGUCAUUGCUGCCCAUCAAGCACGGCUUGUGUGUUGGGUCGUCGUCCCCUCUCCGGGGGGGACGGGCCCCAAAGGCAGCGGCGGCACCGCGUCCGAUCCUCGAGCGUAUGGGGCUUUGUCACCCGCUCUGUAGGCCCGGCCGGCGCUUGCCGAACGCAAAUCAAUCUUUUUCCAGGUUGACCUCGGAUCAGGUAGGGAUACCCGCUGAACUUAAGCAUAUCAAUAAGCGGAGGAA